rnacentral:rRNA from 1 species
UAGGGAAUCUUCCGCAAUGGACGAAAGUCUGACGGAGCAACGCCGCGUGAGUGAUGAAGGUUUUCGGAUCGUAAAGCUCUGUUGCCAGGGAAGAACGUCUUAGAGAGUAACUGCUCUAAGAGUGACGGUACCUGAGAAGAAAGCCCCGGCUAACUACGUGCCAGCAGCCGCGGUAAUACGUAGGGGGCAAGCGUUGUCCGGAAUUAUUGGGCGUAAAGCGCGCGCAGGCGGCUAUGUAAGUCUGGUGUAUAACCUCAGGGCUCAACCCUGGGUCGCACUGGAAACUGUGUAGCUUGAGUACAGAAGAGGAAAGUGGAAUUCCACGUGUAGCGGUGAAAUGCGUAGAGAUGUGGAGGAACACCAGUGGCGAAGGCGACUUUCUGGGCUGUAACUGACGCUG